CGUCGAACGUCACUGUGAAUGGCACGUCGACGAUGUCGUCAUGGACGCUAGCCACGUAGUCAUCUGGCAGAAACUAUUUACUUCAUGAUUGAACGACUACAGCUUGCCCAAGUCAAAACGUGCACACAAUCCGAUGACCUUGAUGCCAAUAUUGCUAAAAUCGCGACUACCAGGCGGCUACAACACGUCGUUAUGAGUGUGACCGUUCUAGGGAUAGGCGAUUUCAAUGCAGAGAUGCUGACUAAGAGGUCGUAAAAUUUCAGAAAUUGGUCGUCCGUCAAAUGCCUUGCACAGUAGCGGUUGUGAAUUUCGGUUCACGUGUCCCUUCCUGGAAUCGAUCUGACCCCAAUUCAAUCAAACUGAAAGGGGAGAUCGAUUUCUUGCCCAGACCAGAUCGUCGUUGACGCGAGUGAGGUAGUGUAAUCCGGCGUAUUAACUGAAGAGGCCGAAGCC
rnacentral:lncRNA from 1 species